rnacentral:rRNA from 20 species
UUUGACCUCGGAUCAGGUAGGAAUA